rnacentral:lncRNA from 1 species
CUCUUUGAAUACGGACGUAGCCGCCACGAAGGCGCUAAGACGGAAUUCGUUCUUAGCUAAGAGGAAAAACCUUCGUAAGUACCUUCCUGAAUCCGGCCCCUGGAUUAUAAACAUUAUUGCCAUUACGUUUGGGUGUCAUGGGUAGUUGACACUUUCUGUUUCUGGGCAACAAGGUGACGUGAGGCGAGGGUUUAUGACAUGUGGUCACAGUUGUUUUCAAGCCGUAUAGUGUGAUGUAUUGGAGCGAUGGAUUACUUAUUGCAGCGCUUUGUGAUACGAUCGAUUCCCGUUACAUUGAAUUCUGUUGUGGAAGGUCCCCGCAACGUAAUCAGAAUGAGCGGUUAAAAGGAACCUAAUCUUAAGUGAUACCCAGAUAUGGAUUGAAGUCUAGAAAUUCCUCUUGCAAUUGGAGUGGGUUACCUGCAUAUAUUACAGAAUCAGGCGAGUGGUGCCAAUGCAGAUUAGAAUGGUAUGAAAUCCAGUGACUGACUGUAGUAAAGGACUUAUGAAGUGAUGGUUGUUCUUUGUAAUCUGUGAUGGUCUUUGCCACUGGAUUCCUCAGUGAUGUUCAGCACCUGGUCUUUGCCAUCUAGCACUGGUCUUUGCCAUUGGAUUCUUCAGUGAUGUCAUCUAGGACCAUUGGUUUAACACAACCUGAAAAUAAGUUAUCAAUAUUAGAUAAUGUACUAUUAUGUAUACAUUAGUUUAAUAAAUGAUUAUUGAAA